rnacentral:rRNA from 1 species
UACAGAGGUCUCAAGCGUUGUCCGGAUUUAUUGGGCGUAAAGAGCUCGUAGGCGGCUCGUCGCGUCGACCGUGAAAACCCGCGGCUUAACUGCGGGCUUGCGGUUGAUACGGGCGGGCUAGAGUUCGGUAGGGGAGACUGGAAUUCCUGGUGUAGCGGUGAAAUGCGCAGAUAUCAGGAGGAACACCGGUGGCGAAGGCGGGUCUCUGGGCCGAUACUGACGCUGAGGAGCGAAAGCGUGGGGAGCGAACAGG